rnacentral:rRNA from 1 species
UACGGCGAGUGAAGAGGAAGAGCUCAAAGUUGGAACCUAUUUGGCUUAGCUAAAUCGGAUUGUAAACUGUAGAAGUGUUUUCCAGACACGCCUGGUAAAAAAGUCCUUUGGAACAGGGCAUCAUAGAGGGUGAGAAUCCCGUCAUUGGCCAGAGCUGUUGUCUUUUGUGAUACAUUUUCAAAGAGUCAGGUUGUUUGGGAAUGCAGCCUAAAUUGGGUGGUAAAUCUCACCUAAAGCUAAAUAUUUGCGAGAGACCGAUAGCGAACAAGUACCGUGAGGGAAAGAUGAAAAGAACUUUGAAAAGAGAGUUAAACAGUAUGUGAAAUUGUUAAAAGGGAACCGUUUGGAGCCAGACUGGCUUAAUCGUAAUCAAUCUAGGCUUUGGCCUGGAUGCACUUGCGGUUUAUGCCGGCCAACGACAGUUUUGUUUGGGAGAAAAAAUUACAUUGAAUGUGGCCCCUCGGGGUGUUAUAGCUUUGUAAAAAAUAUCCUGGACUGGACUGAGGAACGCAGUGAAUGCCUUUAGGCAAGAUUGCUGGGUGCUUUCGCUAAUACAUGCUAGAAUUUCUGCUUCGGGUGGUGCUAGUGUUUAAAGGAGGAACUCGCCUGGUAUAUUUU